GAUUGAGGCAAACAUUGUAUUUUUUUUACUAUAUAAGGUGAUAAAAUAAGCUUAUAUUUGUUACAUGCAAAGGAGAAAAAAUGACUGAAAUUCGUAAAUUUUUUUAUAUGCUGAUCCAUGUUUUUUUCCUGUUUAUUGUUAGAAAGUAUGGUUCAGAGUGUAUAUCUGACACUGAUUGCAAUGUACUAUAUCCAAUGUAUAUUAAUAGAAGAUUACGGUGUAUUCAGGGUAUUUGUCAUACAACCACAGCCCGCAGAAGAUAAGACUGAAGAGUCGUUCAAUGAGUAUAUGAAAUGCUCAUUAAUCGUUCAAUGAGAUAUUCAAAGUCGGAUCACAUUUUAAUGUUAGAACUAUGAUCGGAAAAAGUUCUUACCUUUUGAGUAUAAGGAUCUACUCUUAGUGUGUUUUUCUUGAGAGAAAUAAGUCCAUAAGUUUGAUGCAUGUGUGGAUGCCAAAACCUUAAUCAUACAAGAGCAACAUGGUGUUGAAGGCAUGAAGGAACAUCAAGUGGCGACAAAGGUUUGAGACCUUACCAACAAGUGGAAAUUAGGGGAGUAUGGAAAAACUAAAUAUGGUUCUUGGAUGUUGGUGAACAAAAAAAAUACGUCCUGACAUAGAGAAGAGCAAGGAAACUCAUUCGUUAAAUAAUAGAUAGAAAAAAUUAUUGCCAACAAAAGGAGGGAUAAAAGCUAUUAUGUUCAUUCAAGGGUUAAUAGUGUUUUACCCCCUGUAAUAUAGGUCAUUUUCGGUUUUCCACCCUGUAAAAAAUUUUGUUUGGUUUUCGUCCUUGUAAUUUAAAGAUUUUUGGUUUUGGACCUUCAUGAAUUUUGACAGUAAAAAAUCGACGAUAUGUCAGGGGGCUAAACCAAAAUUCACUCAAAUUAACAGGGGGGUAAACCAAAAUUUGCUCAAAUUUUUUGGGCAUAAACUGAAAUUUUCUCAAAUUACAAGGGGCGAAAUUUUCCAUGAAGGUCUAAAACCAAAAAAUCUUCAAAUUACAAGGACGAAAAUUAAACAAAAAAUUUUACAGGGUGAAAAACCGAAAAUGACAUAUAUUACAGGGGGGUAAAGCACUAUUAACCCUUCAUUCAAUGCAACACAAAGACAAAAUCGAUGCUUUAUGAUGGUCAGAUUAGGCAAGUGUACCAAAUAAUAAAUAGAUAAGUAGAGUAUCACAUUCACAUGGAUUGUCAUCUCGUCCAAACAAUGUUAAGCCCUGUCACAACCUAAGUAUCAAAACUUAAUAGCAAACAAAAAAUAAACUAAAAUAAAAUGAUAUUAAAUUAAAUAAUUAUCCAACAAAAGUAAAU